GAUAAACGCUGGCGGCGUGCAUAACACAUGCAAGUCGAACGAUGAAGAUUAAAAGAUUUCUUCGGAAUGAACUUAAUUGGAUUAGUGGCGGACGGGUGAGUAACGCGUGAGUAACCUGCCUUGUACAAGGGGAUAGCCGUUGGAAACGACGAAUAAUACCCUAUGACAUCAAAUAAUCGCAUGAUAAUUUGAUCAAAGAUUUAUCGGUAUAAGAUGGACUCGCGUCUGAUUAGCUAGUUGGUGGAGUAAAAGCCUACCAAGGCAACGAUCAGUAGCCGGCUUGAGAGAGUGUACGGCCACAUUGGGACUGAGACACGGCCCAGACUCCUACGGGAGGCAGCAGUGGGGAAUUUUGCACAAUGGGGGAAACCCUGAUGCAGCGACGCCGCGUGAUUUAGAAGGCCUUCGGGUUGUAAAAAUCUUUUGUAUGGGAAGAAAAUGACAGUACCAUACGAAUAAGGACCGGCUAAUUACGUG
rnacentral:rRNA from 1 species